rnacentral:rRNA from 1 species
GCGAGUCUGCCUUGAAGAUCGGAGUGCUUGCACUCUGUGAAACAAGAUACAGGCUAGCGGCGGACGGGUGAGUAACACGUGGGUAACCUGCCCAAGAGAUCGGGAUAACACCUGGAAACAGAUGCUAAUACCGGAUAACAACAGAUGAUGCCUAUCAACUGUUUAAAAGAUGGUUCUGCUAUCACUCUUGGAUGGACCUGCGGUGCAUUAGCUAGUUGGUAGGGUAACGGCCUACCAAGGCGAUGAUGCAUAGCCGAGUUGAGAGACUGAUCGGCCACAUUGGGACUGAGACACGGCCCAAACUCCUACGGGAGGCAGCAGUAGGGAAUCUUCCACAAUGGACGCAAGUCUGAUGGAGCAACGCCGCGUGAGUGAAGAAGGGUUUCGGCUCGUAAAGCUCUGUUGUUGGUGAAGAAGGACAGGGGUAGUAACUGACCUUUGUUUGACGGUAAUCAAUUAGAAAGUCACGGCUAACUACGUGCCAGCAGCCGCGGUAAUACGUAGGUGGCAAGCGUUGUCCGGAUUUAUUGGGCGUAAAGCGAGUGCAGGCGGCUCGAUAAGUCUGAUGUGAAAGCCUUCGGCUCAACCGGAGAAUUGCAUCAGAAACUGUCGAGCUUGAGUACAGAAGGGGAGAGUGGAACUCCAUGUGUAGCGGUGAAAUGCGUAGAUAUAUGGAAGAACACCGGUGGCGAAGGCGGCUCUCUGGUCUGUUACUGACGCUGAGGCUCGAAAGCAUGGGUAGCGAACAGGAUUAGAUACCCUGGUAGUCCAUGCCGUANACGAUGAGUGCUAAGUGUUGGGAGGUUUCCGCCUCUCAGUGCUGCAGCUAACGCAUUAAGCACUCCGCCUGGGGAGUA